GGCGCGGGCCGGGGGCGCGCUCAGGGCCGCCGCGGCCGCCACGCGCUGCCGCCUCCCAGGGCCAUGUCUGGGGAGGGACCUGCGCCGCCGCCGCGCUGCGAGCCGAGGCCGAGGCUGGGCCGGGCGGGGCGGCGCUGACGUAGGGCCCGCCCGCGCGGACGCCGGCGGGGCGGAAGGGGCGGUGCCGGGCCGCGACGGGCCUGGCGGGGCGGUGGCAGCGGCAGCGAGAGGAGGGGACGAGGGCCGGGCUCGCCCUACCCGCUCGCGGCCCCGGCCCCAGCUCCAACGCCGGCCCAGCGCGGGCCCGCGAGCCCCGCCGCUCCCGCUCCUCCUCCUCCUCCGCCGGCCCCACCGGGCCCGGCCCGGGAGCGCCGCGCCGCCGAGGGCGGCAAGAUGGCGGCAGCCGCAGGCACGGCGGCUCCCGGGACGAGCGCCACGGGUGGACACCCGGCCGGCGCUGCCCGGGGAACGGCGGGAUCCGCGGCCCCGACGUGCGCGAGACGCGCCGGCGCGGACGGAGUCUUGGCCGCGCGCUCGGCCGGCGCCUCCCGGAGGCCCCUGUGGACGGCGGGCGCCUUGCGCGCAGCGCAGCCGGGGCAGGCGAGGCGGAGGCUGCGAAUCCUGUCCGUGACGAACACAGCGCUCUGUGACCUACACGUGAGUGUGUAUGGAUUUGGUUUGUACCAGCGGGGUGAUUAUAAAUAAAUUGCGCUUCGUACUAUGAAGUUACUUUUGGUUUUUAAACUGACUGGCGAGUUAGAGCACUCAUGCACAAAAUUAAUGGUGAGGUAGGAAUUCCUUGUUAUUCAGAGGUGCGAUUAGCUGUUUAAAGCCUCGUUAAAUAACCAGAGGACUCCCUGGAGGUAGCCAGAUUUUCCUCUGUCACCCGGCAGGUAUUCAAGAUUAAGUGGUAGGGUUAAUCACUUGAAUUUUUAUUCCUAUCAUUGUAGCCCAUAUAAUUUCUUUCCUUUCUACUUUCUUUCCUUUUGUUUUUCUUUUUUUCUUCCUUUUUUUUUUUUUUUUUUGACUGUGCUUGGGGGCUCGAGCCCAGACCCUUGCAUUAGGCAAGCCCUCUACCACUGAGCUGUUUCCCUACACUGUAUAUCCUUUGACAUCCUUGGUUUUAGUUUUUUAAAAAUGCUUUGAUAACAGUACCUGAAAUCUUGAAAAUGAAUUUUUAGCUUACUGUAAUGUCGAAGACUGAGGUUCUGGAGGCAGACCAUAGAACACUACCCUGGGUACAAAUUUAACCUUUUUGAACUUUGGUUUUUAACAUUUGUAAAAUGAUAUUAAUAGUAAUUUUCUCCUGGAUUGAUACACAAAUAUUCAGCAAACGUUGACUUUUGUCGUCACUGUUUCCACAUACUGUAUAAUUGUGUAGAUUUAUGCCUGAGACCAUGGAUUAGUUCUUUUAUUUUUUGAAAGCUUAAAAUCAUUAGCAAAACCCAUAAAGUUCAGUUAUGCUUACUUAGGUAUCUAAUUGCUGGCAAAUAGUUGGCUGAUAAAAGAUUUAUAUACUCUAUAAAAUUCAGCAGUUGUGAUACUUAAAUUUUGUAAAUGUCUACUUAAAAUUUAGUAAAAUGCAUCUAUGAGGUUUAUAAUAUUAAAACUAAAAAUCAGGAAGUUUUAUUUCCAUUCACUUAAUCUUUGGACAGCAUAAAAGAAACUUAAAUUUCACAAAGAGACUGGCACACCAUUGAGGGAAAAAACCUCGAAAAACAUGCUAGAGAGUAUGUGACCUGGUGCUUCAGAAAAAUUACAAAAUAAACUUGGAAAAAAGUAAUGGUGAACAGAGAGACAGCCUGUGAUUUGUAGAAAUUAUCAGUAUGUGGCAAACCAAUCGCAGAAAUUCUUAACUUUCACCUGUUUUCCCAUUUCAACUAAGUUGUUUGGAUCAAUUCAUUUACAGCUCAAAAUAGAAAAUAUUGUCUUAAUUAUUCUUUCCAAGCAUUCAUAUUUUGUAGUAGAAUGAUAUCUUAAUAUUCUACUUCAGGUGGCUGUCAACCAGCAAUAAUGGGCACAUUUUCAGUCUUUUGAAGAAGAUGACAGGCCUCUAUCUACCUAUACAAUCCCUAGCAUGGGUUAGAGGAGCUGCUGGGUGGGAAGCGUGUACUGUGUGACUGAAAGAGACAAAGUGAUUUGUGCCUGGGAUUUGAAUCUAUGGUGUUCAUCUCCCACUAGAUCUAACCUGUGAAUUAUUGUCAGGUUACUCCACCACAGUCUUAGGAGAGCGGGGUUUGUUUCUACAGUCUUGAAGAUUGUUGUUUUUAGGGAGAGAGGUGUUUGGUACUCUGGAAUUAGAAAACUUUUUUGUAAUUAUGGAAAUUAAAAGGCCUGUCCUCUUUGCUAUUUGAAUUUAUUUUGCCUUUCAAAUACUUGAGGGUUUUUUCCUUUUAUUUUAUUUUAUUUUGGUUUGGUUUGGUUUUGUGAUGCUGGAAAUUGAACCGAGGUCCUUGCACAAUGUUAGACAAGUGCUUUCUCCCUAAACUACAUCUCCAGUCCCUCAACUACCACUUUGAAAACAAGAGUACAUGAGUGGUUUAAAGAUACAAGCUAGUGGGAAAGUUUUAGCAGAUUUGCGUAAAGCAGAUUCCUGGCCCUAGUGAAAAAGAGAGUCCUCAGUUGCUUUUAUAUCAUCAGUAACUUGCUAUUUCAGCAAAGGUUCACUGCGUUCUCUUGAUCACUGGACUUGUGCCCUGCUUUCCUGUCCACAAUGGUUGGUGGCUGUUUGUUGCCCUUUUCUCAUGUCCCCUUUAUCACUGUGGGAAUUUGUAGUCCACAGUUGAUGGUAUCCAAAACCUCCCCUGAUUCUCUCUCUGCUGAGCUAGAGAUUCAGGCCUCAUAUUCUCAUGACUCCCAGCCCACAGCCUCCCUGAUGUAACAUUCUGUGGGCCAGGAUAGAAUGGACAGGGAAAGUUCCUGGCUCUUUGCCCUGAACAGAGAUGAUGGAAUUAAAGGGCUUCUGAACCAUCAGGCCUCUGCCUCUUUCCCAAAAGUCAUGAUGUUCAAAAGAAUGGCUUGCUGUCUGGAGAGAACCCAUGGUUUCAUUUUCCUCCUAGUUCCCAGAGUGUGCAGGGGAAGUGUGAGUUCCUGGAGUGUAAGCAGAGGAGCAGGACUUGUCACCCUAAAUUGUUGGCAGCCGUGGAAUUUCGUCCAUAAUGGAAGGUCAGUGACUGGUCACACUGAACCUUUCUUGUCUGCAGUGAAGAAGUGUCCUUGGUCUUCUACCACCAGGAAGAUAUGUGUAGACUUCAGGCUGUGACAACAUUUCCAUGUCCGAUUCCACAAAACUGAAAUGUAAAUUACCUUUUCUUUUUUUCAGAUUGCCAGACGCUGUUCUUAUGUCAAUAACAGAGUAUCUUGGGAAGAAAAAAAAAUCAGUAAUGAUCCUUCCUGGGACUUAUUUGAAAACAGGGUCAAAUUCUGAAGAGGUGAAGUGGCAAGAUAAUACACUAAGGGACCAAAUAUGUAGGUUCUGUUCAACAUGCGGGAACACACAGUUUACCACUCGGACCUCCUGGUUCUGGUUCUGCUUCUUGCCGUAGUCGAGGGGUUUCUUGGGUCUUACGGCACAAAAGGCAGGAGGAAGAACAUUAACAUCAGAGGUCCCUCUGGGGACAAAUAGGAAGUGUCAUGUCUUGGGAAUUCUUCAGUGGAGCCAGCAGGAGCACUUACAGGUUUGACUCUAAAUCUAUAAGGGCCUUUAAACACCUGCUCGCCUCACAGACCUGAAUGUGGAGAUGAAGAGGGUGAUGUGCCUGAGGGUACAGUCAGCCACAGAACAGUGCCCCUUCAUGGAGUCCCUAGUGUGUAUGUGGGUGUCGAUUAGUUGCGAGGAAUAAGGAGGUAAAGAAAGUUCCCCUUUUCAAGAACCAACCCUGGGCCUGGGGCAGACAAAUAGGUGACAGUGUCAUCUGAUAAGCACAUGAGCACUUCAUAAAAAUAAGAAGGAAAUUAAUAUCACCACCUAACUAGUAGGCAGUGCGGGCUUUCAUCCCAGGCCAUCCUGCCCUCCAAGGUGUAGGUGAUGACUUCAUCUCAUUGUGCAGGGACUUUGGGGGGUGGGGUACUGGGACUCGAACUCAGGACCUCACACUUGCCAGGCAGGCACUGUGCCACUGACCUAUGUCUCCAGCCCUCUACAGGCACUUUGGAGCCACACCAAAUCCAUGUGUAGGUUCCAUCUGCCAGUUAAUUGACUGGCAUCAUGUUAGCGAACUCUGAAACUCUCCAUUGUCUGUCAGCUGAGGGACUCAGCCUCACAAAGGCAAGGAGGGCAAGGCCAUAGAAGUGAAAGCAGUCGACCCUGCUCCUGGCACUUAGGUUCUCUGAGUUUCCAUUUUUAAUUUUCAAUCUAAGAUAGCACUACCUAGUUGUUGUUAUUUUUGUUUGGUACCCACUGUGUUCCCUAAAUGUGUGUCCAGAUGGCUCUGGGCAGAUUCAAAAAUAGCUAUGCUCAAGAGAGGAAAAUCGUUGUCAUGGAAGACUUUGAAAGGAGGGCUAUGUGUUCCCUAGGCAACUCUCCAAGGGGCGUCCCAAGCGUGUGGGCAGGAGGAGUGGCAAUGAGAUACAUGGACAGACACUGAAGGGACUGCUCUGAAAGGCAGCGCUCAAGAACAGUCUCUUUUUGGAGAAAGAAACUUCAUAGUUAUCUUUUAAAUAUUUGUUGGAAUCUUCAGGAUCAGUUUUGUGUUUUUGUUGAGAAAGGGUCUCGCUAUGCAGUUCAGGCUGGCCUUGAGCUCACUUUGUAGCCUAGGCUGGUCUCAAUGAUUUUCCUGCUUCGGCUUCCCAAGUGCGGGGAUUACAGGCAUGCGCCACCAUCUCUGACCAGAAUUGUUUUAGUGAAUGGAAGUUUAAUUUUUUAAUUAAGGUUUUUUUGUUUAAUACUAGAAAUGCCUAUUAAGAAAAAAGCUAUUUUAAAAUCUCAUUUAAACUGGAUGUGGUGACAAAUACUUGUAAUCCUCGUAUUUGGGGCUGAGACAGGAGGAUCACUGCAAUUUUAAGGCCAACCUGCACUACAUAAUGAGUUUAAGGCCAGCACAAACUGCAUAGCAAGACCCUGUCUUUAAAACACAAACAACAAAAAAAAAGAUUUUACUCGUUAGUGACUAAUUACUGUUUUGUAGUCUGUUACAUUUGUGCAAACCAUAAAAAUGCUUCCUGAAGAAGCAGUUUUCUCAUACCGGGCUCUGAGCAGCACCAGUCUACAGCACAUGGACCUGACUUUUAAGUCGAAUGAGAGGACACAGUUGUCAUGGGAAUGGUGGGGACCCCUGCUCAGGAGCUGUGACUGCUGCCAGAGGAAGAGGUGAGGAUGCCUGCUGAGCCAGAAAUAAGUGUAGGUGCCUCCAACAAGCAAGGAGAAAUCCUGCCUCAACUGCAAGUAGCCUCAGGAUAGAUUUGUGCCCUGGCCGGGGCAGGCCUAGCUCUGGGAAAGAGUUGAUGCUGAAAAACAGUAAAGACUCACCACUGCAUCCACUUAACCCUCUGCAUGUGCAGCACGUGGUACAGAGAGAACUGACCUAGGCGGAGCAGGGGCCUCCCUAGGUAUCAGUCUGUCACAUGAGGGCAGUCAGGAGUGAGGUUUCAGCCCAGCGCCAGGCGUGGUGAGUCCGGCGUGGAAAAGAUACCUUCAGUUAAACUAGGAAGCACUGGUUUAAAAACCUCAGCAUCCGUCCACUAAAAACAUGGCGCACCGAAUCUCAUUCUGACAUCUGUUGCUCUUGAGCAACAUUGUCCAAUAGAAUUUUCCCUUACGACAGGAGUGACUUUUACUAGUACAGCCACUAGCCAUAUAUGGGCACUGAGUGCUUGACAUGUGGCUAGAAUGACUGAGAAACUAAAUUUUAAUGUCACUUAAUGUAAAGUAGAUCAUCACAUGCAAGUAAUAGAGAGCUUCACUACUAAAGAAAUGACAGUUACACCAGCCUAACUCCAUGGUGGUCUGUUAAUAUAAUUUGUUCAGUAAAUUAGACUCUAGUGUAACCUCAUUUAUGUAGUGUCUUAUACUUUAUGAAUUGCCCUUCAAAAAUCUCCAUUUGGCAAACCACUUCUACAAAUGUGGAAAUCAAAAUAAAGCCCCCCGCCCCUUCAUUUUCAGUUUCACAGCCUAAAAUAUUUCUGUCAAUGCAGAGUUCUUACCACCCAGGCUCUGCAUUACUGGGUGACUGUCCAGUAAUCUUAAGAAGACCUUGCUCAGAUCUUUUGCAAAUGGAAAGAGAACCAAGAGAAGGAGGAUGAUGAGAGGGGAGGGAGUGGAAAGGAGAUGAAAGGAGAUGCAUUGUUUACAGGUACCAGCUCCCUAUGAUGAAUGUAAACUGCAAACGUGUAUUAAUAAAGAUUUAAAACAAAAAUAUACCUGCUCAUUCCAGACACCAUUCUCAAGCUGUUGCCUGGUCACCACAAUGUACAGUGAAUUUCCUGAGAUCUGUGUGGUCUGUGACUGCAGCCUAAACCUGAGUGACCACUGUAUCAGCCAUCUUUCACAAGUGGUCCCCUUUGAACCUGUGGUCAAACAGCUACUUUAGUUAAAAAGGCCACAUAAAACCCUACCUCAAGAGGCAAGGUUCCAUGUUACAUUGUGUCCAUUUUCAGCUCUUAGGUUGCUGGCAAUAGAAACAGCUAUCUCAAACAUGAACAAAAAGUCACUUGUUACAAAGAUUAAAAACUCAAAACUGUUGUUUUAAGUUGGAGAAUCAGGAUCAGAAAUGGUGGGAAUUAGUAAUGGCAGGCAUGGUACAGUGUAGCUGGGUUACUGAUGACAUGAGUUGGGUCCAGCCUUACUAUAAUCAUUUGCUCAGGAUUCAAAAUCAUUGAACAAACCAAAAAGUAGAAUGGACUAAACUUAUGUAAAUGUCUUCAGUCUGGUGCUGAAGACAGUAAAGCACCUUGAACUUUGUAUGGGAAGCAGACACCUGGACCGAUGAUCUCACCAAAAUUUUCUGAGGAAAACCCAGGUACUUAUAGAAAAUGAAAAGGAAUGCUGGAUAUCCAAAAAAAGCAUAUUUGAACAGUACAGUUCUUACAUGCCUGGUUCCUUAGGAGAUAAUGGAAACCUUCAGACUGCCUUCUCUUCAAUCAAUUUUUCUAAACAUUCAUUGCUAAACCAAAUGUCUAGAAAACCAGCCUGUUUUAAUCUAUUUGCCUGCACCACCCCAUUUAGUUAAUCCCACUGAUUUCACUUAGCUACACCAAGAAUCUAUUAUUACUCUCUCUUCAUCAUUCAUGUAUUUCCUUGGUGGUAUGAGAACUUGGACACUUCUGUGAUCUGACCUCAAGGCUAAAUAUCCUUUGCCAAAUAGGGUUGAUGUUUAAUACUUACUAAACAUCCAUUACUUUUCCUGUGUAAGUCACCAUUGUUACAACUUGCAUGUUUACCUUAUAUCCAGAGACUCAGUAUUUAAAAAAAAAAGGUGCACUCUAAAAUGUCUCUGCUGUCGCUGGCAGACAGUCUGAGUUGAUUAAUCCCAGCAAGCCAGAGGUAGCUUUUCAUCAGGGUAGUGGGUAAUCCCAGCGACUUCCCCUGAAGUUCAGGCUGGUUUGUGGCUGUGAGGCUGGAACUGCAUUUGUUGAGCCCGAAGCAAUUCAUGUGCUUCCUACCCACCUCACUUGGGCUGCCUGACCCUGUCCCUGCAAGUCACUAGAUAGAGCUGGCCCAACGCUGCUCUGCAUUCAGUUGGCUCCUGUCUGAGAUGAAAUGACCCUCUCCUGGGGGACAUCUGAACUCACCAGCCACUGCCCCAUUCCACAGUGCAUUUCUCUAUGGAGGCAUCAGGUUAUCAGUAGUCGCCUUACAUCCACAGGUUCAACCUGUUUCUCCCAAGCAGAGUUCAGGGAGACACUGCUGCCUGCCAUCUCCUUGGUUGAAGUCUUUCUGCUCUCCCUGUGGGCUUCAAUUCCCACUUCAGGUCCUUCAUGGGUCUCAGGGACCCACAUCCCUCUUGUUCAUAGUGCUAUAUUUCAGUGUCAGGAUGUCAGUUCAGCAAGAGGCUUUUUCGGAGGCUCCCCACUCCUGCCAUCUUCCUGGAAGUCGAAUUUCUCAUUGCCCAUAGCAUAAUAAAAAAAAAAAGUGUAUGUGUACAUAAAAUGUACAUUACUAGGAAAGGUGUUAGUGCUUCUAGAAAAACUAGGAAAUAUAUUCUAGGAGAUUACAUGAAAUUAAGAAAUUUUUUUUUUAAUUUUAAAUUGGAGCUUCCCUGUUGCACUUCCAGCCAAGAUGUAACAGGAAAUGGAUCACCUUCCCAAUGAAGCAACUGAAAAACAGAAGGUGUGUGAAACACUGAACAUCAGGCAUUAAAGGAUGAGAAUUCUUCAGAAAUUGGGAAAGGGAAUGAGGCCUCAGUCGCCCGAACUCACUGGUUGGUGAGUGUUUCCAGGCAGAAUGAGAUGGAUGGGAAUAGAGGCAGAAGCUGAAAGUCUCAAGCUGAGGUUUGGGCAAGGUAGCCAGAAUUCAGAGAACAGGGUCCUGGAAAUAGGAACAGUGUACACAAGAGGCCUCCAGUGACCUGAAGGUUUUCCUUCAGUGUUCAACGGAAGACGUUAAUUAGUGCAUGCAUGCAUGUGAGGAAUCUACCGGUUUGGGGAAGCGUUUUUCCUUGGGGGGAAAGAGACACUGGGAAGAAAAAGAAGGUGUAGUAGCCAGAGCUCACACCAAACCAAGGCCAAAAGUAACGCCUGUUCCCAACAGGUUGGAAAUGGGUGUUUAGCUCAGCAGCAUAAGCAUCUGCCUGGCAAGCGUGAGGUUGUGAGUUCGAUCCCCAGUACCAAAAAAAAAGAGGAACAUCAAUUACUAUUGGGGCUGGGGAUUUAUCUCAGUGGCAUAAGCGCCUGCCUUGCAAGCACGUGGUCAUGAGUUCGAUCCCCGGUGCCAAAAGAAAGGAAAUCCACACUUUCAAAAGUCACCUUACUACUAGAAGAUCCAUCCCUCACAAGGAGAUAAAGUUUAGCCCCAGACAAGGCACAUAUUUAGGCCUACCUAACAAAAACUGAUCCUUUUUAAAAAUAUGAGGUGCAAUCAAAAUUUUGUCAAAAUGUGUUACAGUAAGAUACUACCAUUAAUCCUCCCCAGAAUUCUCCUAAUUGAACCCACUUACCAUCAUGCUCACCACUUUUCGAAGCAGUUCUGGAAGCCUCUUUCCAGAAUGUCUUUAGUUGCACUGCUGUGGCUGCCUCGGUGACUUGAUUCAGGACAUUGACCUUUCGUGGGCAUUUUGUCUUUGUAGAAAAGCCACACGUUACUCUGCGCCAGAGUUACUGAGUAAGGUGGUUGGGGUAUACUGUAAUGUUUUUGGCUGAAAUUGCCAUAAAUGUUUUUAACUAAUGCAGGAUAUUUAAGGCAGCCACGAAAGUACAUGAAAGAAGACUUCCAAAACUGCUCAGACAGUGAAGGGGGGCAUCCUGAGUAAGAUGAACAGCAAGUGUCUUACUGUAGUGAUAUUUUUGUGUUUUUAAACACUCACUUUUCUAUCACACCUGAUAAUGGUAGAAAUACACAAUAUGCACUCAAGGUAAACAAUUUCUGUCAUCCAAUCAAAAAUUACCAGGCAUAAAAAAAACCUGGAAAACAUAACUCGUUUCCUGUUGUCUUUGUAACUGAUACCACAAACUCAUAAAUGGCAUAAACUAACACAAAUGUUCUCUAAAGACCAGAAGUCUAACCCAGUUGGGGAUAUAUUUCCAUUUUUGUCAGGAGAAUAUGUUUUCUCUUCCUUUCAGAUUCCAUAUUUGUUUGCCCAAAGCCCCAUACCACUCUUAACUCUGUAACUCUUUUUCUCUGUCUUAUAAAGAUUCUUGAUUGUAGGAGAUGCCUCUGUCAGAAUUCUUCAGUGACAUCUGUAAAACUCCUUUUCCUCUAUAGUAUAUCUCUAUGUUGAUGUGUGCUUAUUCUGCUUACCACAAAAAGCAAAGCAAAGGAAACACACCUAGAGGUGAAAUAGAUGAUAAAUUAGACAAGAACCCUGACUGCAGUUUUUAUGACUAUAGUCCACAUGUUCAAGAACUUAGAGGAAGAGCUGAACAUAUUAAGUGGGAAGCUGGAAGAUAUUUUUAAGAGACUAAAAGAUGGAAUUUGCAGUACCUGAAAUUAAAAAAUACCCUGGAUGAGAUGAAUGAAUUGGGCAUUGGAAAACAGAUACAUUGCAGUAGAAAGGGAGACCACAAAAAGGCAGGGGGGACAUUACUAUGUAGAAUCUCACAUAAACACAUGUGCAUCCCAAAUUGCAUAGUCUGAAAAUAUGAUGCUCUAAUUUCAUGAAAAUUAUAAAUCCAUGGAUCCAGGGACCUAAAAACAAAUGUAAGAAUGAAGAAAACUACAUCAAGGCACAACAUAAGCAAAUUUCUUAAAAUCAGUGAAAAGGGAAUUAUAAAAUCAGACCCUUCUCCCCCAAAGGCACAUUACAUGGAGAAAGACAAUAAUAGAAGUUCCUGCAGAUUUCCCAUCAGAUACAAUACAAAUUGAGAGAAAUGGAGCAGCCCGUCAACCAAGAAUUAUUUGUCCAGUAGAAAGAUCUUUCAAGAAAAAGGGCAGAACCACAUGUGAUGGUGCACAUCUGCAAUUCCAUCACAUGGGAGGCUGACCCAGGAGGAUUGUCUUUCAUUCAAAGCCAGCCUGGGGUUCAUAGAGCUCAAGGCCAGUCUGGCUUAUGUAGUGAGAACAUAUCAGAGAAAAAGCCAAGAAUCAAUGAAAUUAGGAAUGAAAAAGGUGAUGUCACAGCAGACCACCAAAAUCCAGGAAAUCUUUAGUAGCUACUAUGAAGACUUCAUGCAAAUUUGUUGUAUUUCAACACAUUUAAAAUUUUUAAGAAAGGGGGGCUGGGGGUUUAGCUCAGGUGCAUAAGCACCUGCCUUGCAAGCAGGCGGUCGUGAGUUCAAUCCCAGUACCGAUAAAAAUGAAAAAGACAAAAAAAAAUUUUUUUUUGAAGAAAAGGAUAGAUGACUAGAUAUAUGAAUUACCAAAACUGAACCAAGAAGAUGUAAAAAUUCUGGUACUUCACAUGAUCAGAGAAAUUCUUCUAGUAACCAACCAUAAAAAUUAUUCCUGAAAGUGUAGUCUUAGAUGUAAAAUUUCUGAACAAGCCAGUAACAAGCAAUGGAACUGAAGCAAUGAUAAAAAUCUUACCAACUAACAAAACUCCAGGCCCUGAUAGAUUCACUGCUGAAUUCUACAAUAUCUUCAAGGAAGUUAUAACACUAAUAUUGCUAAACUUUUCAUUCCUGGAAGCUAGUGUCACUCUGAUCAUAAAACAAGAGACCUGACUGACAAAACCAGAGGCCAGUCUCCUUAAUAUAGACACAAAAAUUCUAUGUAAGAUCUUGGCAAACAGAAUGCAGCAAAUUAUCAAAAAGGUAAUACAUCUCAAGGUUAAACACAUGGAAUCAAUAAAUUAAUACAUCACAUAAAUACAAAGAAAAAAAUCACAUGAUCAUAUCAAUACAUGCUGAAAAACACUUUUGAAAAAAAAUACACGCCUGAUUUUUAAAAAUCCUGAAGAGAAUUUAGAAAAAUCACACUUUAAUCUGAUAAAAAGCAAUUUAUGACAAACAGCCAAGAUCAUAUUAUAUGGGGAAAAACUAAAAGUGAUACUUUUAAAACCAGGAACAAGAUAAGAAUGUCAACUAUCAUCACUCACCUUCAGUAAAAAAACAUGAAACAUUAACCAGAGCAGUCAGGCAAGAGAAAGAGAUGAAAGAGAUAAAUAUAGGAAAGGAAGAAAUCAAAUUUUAUUUUCAGAUAACAUGAACCUCUGGCCAGAAGACUCCAAAAACUCCACCUAAAGAUUUCUAAAAUUUUAAUCAAAUUCAGCAAUGUAACUGGAUAGAAAAUCAAAUUCCAAAAACCUAUAGUACUCCUAUAUAUCAAUAAUGAACUCACAAAGAAAACAGAAAAUGCCAUUCUAGUAGCAUCAAGAAAAGUUACCAAUUAAUCUAAGGAAGUGAAGACCUCUAAAACAGAAACUAUACAACUCUGAGAAAGGAAAUCGAAAUUAGAAAAGAUAUCCUCUGUUCUUAGAUAGGCAAAGCCAAUAUUGUAGAAAAGGCCCUACUUCCAAAACUGAUAUAAAGAUUUACUACAAUCCCAAUCAAAAUACCAACUGCAUUGCUCACAGAACUAGAGAACAGUCCUAAAAUUCAUAUGGGACAAACAGAGACCCAGAAUAGUAAAACCAAUCCUGGCCAAUAAGAGCAAAGUAGAAGGCAUCAUUAUACCUGACUUGAAGUUAUAUUACAAAGCUAUGGUGAUUAAAAACAGCAUGGCAUUGUAAACAAAUGACAACAUGUAGGUUAGUAGAACAGAAUAAAGGAUGCAGAAACACCUCUGGGCACAUUCAGCUAUUUGCUCUUUGAAAAAGGGACCAAAAGCCUACACUGAAGGGUAGCCUCACCAGCAAAUUGUGCUGUGAAAGCUUGCUAUUUACAUACAGACAACUGAGACCCAAAUGUGUCACCAUGUACUAAAAUUAAAAUAUAUCAAAGAUUAAAUAUUGAAACAGAAGCACUUAACCUCCUGGAAGAUAGGGGCUUCCCAAACAGAAAGUCAGUUGCACAAGAAAUAACAUUGCUGUUAUUUCUUGUGCGUUGCAAUAGUCAACAAAUAACAUUGCAAGAGUCAACAAAUGAGACUAUAUCAAAUUAAAAAGUUCCUGUACCUUGAAGAAAACAACAGAAUAAAAACCAUCUAUAGAAGAAGAAAAAAAUUUGCCGGCAACAUCUCCAAAGAUUAAUAUCUAAAACAUAUAAAGAACUCAAAAAAAGUAGGCUCCACCUCUCAAAUAUAAAAGACCAUCCAAAAAAAUUUUUUAAAGAUCCAAAAAAAAAAAAAUGGUCAACAGAAAUGAGUAGACAUUUUUCAGAGGAAGAAAUGGAGACACCUGCGAAAAUACAUGUAAAAAAUAUUCAACGUGACUGGUCAUUUGAGAAAUGAAAGAACAAUACUGAGGUUGCUUACAUUCUUUUUUUUUUUUUACACCAGGAAGAAUAGCAACCAACCAGACAGUCAUAAUCAAAAUAAAUCUACACCCAGGCAUAAAAUUAUUAAGAUCCCCAAAAUUCAGCAUAAAAACAAUAUUAAAAUCUGUUAAAGACACAACUCACCUAUCAAGGAAAGUGAAAGACCUAUUAGAAUCACAGCAGACUUCUGAGCACAGACUCUCAAGUCAAGAUGAGCUUGGAGUGAAGUGUUUCAAGUCCUGAAAGAAAACAACUUUCUACCCAGAUUGAUAUACCCUGCAAAAAUUUCUUUGAAAAUUAAUGAAGACAUAAGAUAUUUCCAUGACAAAGAACAACUGAAGAAAUUAAUGUCCACCAAACCAACUCUAGAAAGAGUACUGACAUACUAGAGAUAAAAAUAACUACAAUUUCCAGAACAACAACAGAAAGAAACCUCCAGAUAGGGCAAGCAAUUAUACAAGGGGAAAAAGCAGGAAACCAACAAUGGGAAAACAAGGUGACAAAGUUGAGUUACUACAUAUCAAUUAUAACCAUCAAUAUAAAUGGCCUCAAGUCACCAGUUAAAAGAAACAGAUUGGCACAAUGGACCAAAAAACAGGAUCCAACAAUAUGCUGUACACAGGAAACACAUGUGACUCAAAAGGAAACUCAUAGACUAAAAGUCAAAGGAUAGAAAACAGUAUAUAAGAAAUAUACUAAUAAAAGCUACUAAAUAAAACACUAAAUACUAAAUAAAAAAACAAAUAUGCAAUAACAGAAUUGAAAUAUCCCAUUGUCACAAAGAGAUAGAUCAACUAGAUUAAAAAGUUAGCAAAGAAAUAACAGAACUGAGUCAAACCUGUGAACAAAUGGACUUAGUAGACAUUUACAGAGUGUUUCACUCAAGCAUAUCCAAAUACACAUUCUUCUCUACUGUGCGUGGCACAUUCUCUAAAAUGGACCAUGUAUUAGCCCAUAGAACAUUCUUUUUCGGGGGGGGGGGAGCUUUUUCGUUUUUAUCAGUACCAGGGAUCGAAUUCACGACUGCCUGCUUGCAAGGCAGGCGCUUAUGCCUCUGAGCUAAAUCCCCAGCCCCCCCAUAGAACAUUCUUAAGUAAAGGCAAAGGAGUUGAAAUUAUCUCAUGCAAUAUUAUCUGACCAUAGUGCACUGAAACUGGAAAUUACUGGCAAAAAAAAAAAAAACAAUCUGCAUAAACACAUGAAAAUUACAUGACAACCUCAUGAACAACCAAUGGGUUACAGGUGAAAUUAAAGAAAUUAAGCAAUACCUACAAUUCAAUGAAAAUUCAGAUAGAACAUACUGAAACUUGUGGGAUGCAAUGAAAGCAGUCCUAAGAGGGAAAUAUAUAGCAAUGAAUUCUCACAUCAGAAAAACUGAAUGAGCACAAAUAACCUAAUGCUGCACCUCAAACUUCUAAAAAAAAAAGAGCAAGUCAAACCCACAGCUCAUAGAAGAGAGGAAAUUAUAAAGAUCAGAGCAGAGGGGCUGGGGAUUUAACUCAGCGGCAUAAGCGCCUGCCUUGCAAGCAGGCAGUUGUGAGUUCGAUCCCCAGUACCAAUAAAAAGGAAAAAGACAAAAAAAAAAAAAUCAGAGCAGAAAUUAAUGCAAUUGAGACUAAGAAAAUAAUACAAACAAUCAAAGAACUAGUUCUUUAAGAGAAUAAGCAAAAUUGAUAAACUUCUAGCCAACCUUAUCAAGAAAAGAAAGAAAAAACUCAAAUUCAUGCAACAAGGAAUGAAAAGGGUGAAAUUACAGAUCCCAUGGAAAUUCAGAAGAUCCUGAAUACCUACCUUGAAAAUCUUUACUCACAUAUGGUGGAAAACAGAGGAAAUGGACAGAUUUCUAGAAACAUAUGAAUUACCAAAGCUGAAUCAAGAAGAUGUGACACUUUUGAAUAACACAGUAUCAGCCACUGAAAUUAAAAAUGUGAUUAAAAACUUACCAACAAAGAAAAGCUCAGGUCCUGAUGGAUGUACAGCUGAAGUCUACAAGAAAUUUAGAGAAAUUUAAUGCCAAUACUCUUCAGACUUUUCAAUGAAGUUAAAAGGGAAGCAUUCUUACUAACACAUUCCUGGAGAUAAGUAUUACUCUGAUACCAAAACCAGAGAAAGACCCAACCAAAAAGGAGAACUAUAGACUAAUAUCCCUAAUGAACAUUGAUGCAAAAAUUCUCAGUAAAAUACUGGCAAAGAGAAUACAACAAAUCAUCAAAAAGAUUAUACAUCAUGACUAAGUGAGAUUUAUCCCAGGAAUGCAAGGAUGGUUUAACACAGUAAAUGAAUAAAUGUAAUACACUACAUCAACAAAGCCAAACACAAAAAUCACAUGAUUAUCUCAACAGAUGGAGACUCUUACAGAGUCCAGUACUCAUUCAUGAUAAAAACUUUACAGAAACUUGGAAUAGAUAGUCUCUAUCAAUAAAAGCCAUCUAUGACAAAGCAACAGCCAAAGCCAUACUAAAUGGACAAAAACUGAGUUUUUAACCUAAAAUGUGGAACAACACAAGAAUGUCCACUAUCCCCACUCUUAUUCAAUAUAGUUCUGGAAUCAUUAGCCAGAGCAAUGAGUCAAGAAAAAGACAUAAAAGGAAUAAGGAUAGGAAAAGAAGAAUUUAAAUUAUCACUAUUUGCAGAUGACAUGGUACUCUACAUAGAAUAUCCAAAAACUCUAUCAAAAGUUUUUAACUCUAUCUAGAGUUAAUAAGCAGAUUCAUCAGUAUAGCUGGAUACAAAAUAAAUAGGCAAGGCAGGAGGCAUCAUAAUCCCUGACUUGAAAUUAUACUACAAAGCUACAGGGAUAAAAUCAAGAUGGUACUGGCAAUGAAAAAAAAAAAAAAAAACAGACCUGAGGACCACUGGAACAAAUGAAAAGAUGCAGACACAACUACAGACACUGAGCCACCUUAUCUUUGACAAAGGAGCUAAACAUAUUCACAAGAAAGAUAGUCUCUUUAAUAAAUGGUGCUGGCAAAAUUGACUUUCCACAUGCCAAAGACUGAAACUAGACCCAUGUUUAUCAUCAUGCAAUAAACUAAAGUCAAAAUGGAUCAGUGAUCUAAAUAUUAAGACAGAAACACUAAAUCUACUGGAAGACAAGGUAGAUAGAAAUGUUGAAGACAUACGAGUAGGCAAAGAGUUCUUGAAUAAAAGCAAACUGCAUGGGAAACACUUCAAAGAAUCAACAACUGGGAUUUCUUAUUAAAAAGAUUUUGUAGUUCAAAAGAAGUUGCCAACAGAGUGAAGAGAAAACCCACAGAAUAGGAAAAAAUCUUAGGCAGCUGUCCGUCAGACAAAGGGCUUAUAUCCAAAACAUAUAAAGAACUGAAAAACAUCAGGUCCCCCCAAAUCAAAGACCUAAUCCAAAAAUGGGCAUCUGAAAUGAACAUACACUUCUCAGAUGAAAAAAUACAAAAGGCAAAUAAAUACAUGAAGAAAUGUUCACAAUCACUGGUCAUUCAAGAAAUGCAAAUUAAAACAAUGUUGAAAUUCCAUCUCAGUCCAGAAAGAAUGAUUGCCAUCAACAAACCAACUGAUAUCAAAUGUUGGUGUAGGGAAAAAGGAACCCUUUCCACUGCUAGUGGGAGUGUAGGCUUGUGCAACCACUGUGGAAAUCAGUGUGGAGAUUCCUCAAAAAACUAGGGUUGAAAGUCCCAUUUAAUUCGGCUAUUCCCCUUCUGGAUAUUUCCCCCCAAAACUGAAAAUGUCAUGCUACAAUGAUAUGUACACCUAUGUUUAUUGCAGCACAAUUUGGUUGUUUCUGGGAAACAACCAAAAUGCCCAUCAAUCACAGAAUGGAUAAAAAAGACAUGGCAUUUUUAUACAAUGGAAUAUUACUCAGUUGUAAAAAAUGAUAAUCUUGAGGAUUUUGUACGUAAGUGGAGGCAACUUAAGACCAUACUCAUAAGUAACAUAAAUCAAAUUCACAUUUAUAAGUAUCAUAUUUAUAUGAUAAAUAUCUCUAGUACAAAAAAAUAAAAAUCUGAAAAAUCAGUAUUGUCCAAAAUGUACAAUAGAUAUUGUAAUAAUGAAAGGGAAAGAAAAUGCUCAAAAGGACAGAAUUACUGGGAUGAGACAAGGAAAAAAAGGAAGAAAGGAAAAGAGUAUAUGUUUGUUGGUAAACAUAUAUAAAUGUAUGUAUGUAUAUGUCUGCUAGAUAGAUAACUAUACUACUAAUCUAUCAAAAAGAACAGUUUGUUCUGUCUUUGAUAACUUUUGUAUCUAAAUUUGUGAGCUGAACAACUAGUUCUAUGAUAAUAUGCAAUAUAUUAACUGGUGUUAAUUCCCUACCUUUUUUCUUUUUUGAAAUUCUGUAUCAUUUCUGACCUUUUUUUAUUGUUUUGCUUUUAAAACAAAAAAAAGGCUGAGAAUGUAGGUGAGUGCAAGGUCUGGUGUUCAAUCUUAGUUCUGCAAAAAAAAAAAAGUAAUAAUAAUCCAGUGUUGUACAAUACAUUAAAUGUAUGUCUCAAAUAUCAUUCAUCAUACAGAGACCAAAGAAAAUCUCAACCUGGAUGAAAAAAAAAAAAAGGAUAAAGAGAUGCCAACACCAAAAUGAUAGAGGUGGCAUAUUUAACAUGAAUUUUAAGUUGAAAUCAUGAAAAUGCUUCAGUAAACAUACAUAAAAAACAUCGUUUCAGCAAAGAAAUGAGAUAUGAAGCACCAAAUGGAGAUUUAAGCACUGAAAAAGUGUGUGAAGAAAUCACAGCUGAAAAUAUCCCAGACUUGGCAAGACUCGAUGUAAGCCUGCAGAUCAAAGAAGCUGAAUAAGCCCAAACAGGAUAAAUGCAAUGGAAUCUACACCAAAACGUGGGGUAGUCAAACUUCUGAAAACUUGAUAAAUCUUGAAAGUGGGAGAGAAAUGAAAUGUUACCAAAGGAAGAAAUCGUAAAAGGACAGUGCCUUUCUCAUUAGAAACCAUGGAGGGCGGGAGGAAGUGGCAAACUAUUUCUCAAGAGCAAAAGCAAAAGAACUCAGGCUCAGGGUACUUAAGAAAUGAUGUAGGAAUCAAGAUUUCCUCAGAUGCAGAAAAACUAAGAAGACUUGUCAUCAGAGCUACCCUGAAAGAAUGAGUGAAGGAAUUUCUCUAAGUACACCUGAAGUAAUAAAAGAUUUGAAAUCAUGAAGUAUUAAAAGUGAACUCGGGGCUGGGGAUUUAGCUCAGUGGCAUAGGCGCCUGCCUUGAAAGCAGGCAGUCGUGAGUUCAAUCCCCGGUACCGAUAAAAAGGAAAAAGACAAAAAAAAAAAAAAAAAAAAAAAAAAAAAAACUCAAAAAAAAGAACUCAGGUGGGGUGGCAAAUGCCUAUAAUCCCAGCACUCGGGAGACUGAGGAAGAGCCUCAGUUUUGAGCUCAGAGUCAGACAGAGCUACAAAGGGAGCUCAAGUUCAGUCUGAACUGCAUAGCAAGACCCUGUCUCAAAAAAGACCAAAAAAAGAAAAAAAAAAUGGUGAAGGAAGAAAAUGGGGUAAAAAUACAUAUUCUGUCUCAUAUUAAGUUUUCUAAAUUAGGUAUGAUGGUGAAAUGAGAGAAUAUAAAUGAUGAUAUACGCACAGAGAAUAUAAAAGAAAUACUUAAGACAAUUACACUAUAAGUGGGGGAGAACAAAGGGAAAUAAAGCGUUACACUUCACCUGAACUAGCAAAACGGCACCAUUACACGACUAAGUCACGUAACAGUCUAAUACUUAGACCAGCCGCUAAAGAAGGUAUGCAAGGAGACACAGAAACAUUACAGAUACAUAAAAGUAUCACAAAAUGACCAAAUAAUCACAUAGGGAAGAUAAACAAAAACAAGACCUAGAACAAAAAGGAAACAAAAACAAAAAAUUGAAUGGAAAACUUAAGUCCUAACGUCAAUAAUUAUAUUGCAUAUAAAUGACUUAAGCACACUAAUUAAAGAUGUGUAGCUUGGGGCUGGAGAUUUAGCUCAGCGGCAUAAGUGCCUGCCUUGCAAGCAGGCAGUCGUGAGUUCAAUCCCUGGUACUGAUAAAAACGAAAAAGACAAAAAAAAAAAAGAUAUAUAGCUUGACAGACCAAACUAUAUGGCAGUUAUAAGAAACCCAUUUCAGGGGCUGGGGGUUUAGCUCAGCGGCAUAAGCACCUGCCUUGCAAGCAGGUGGUCAUGAGUUCGAUUCCCGAAAAUGAAAAAAAAAAAGACAAAAAAAAGAAACCCAUUUCAAAUAUAAUGAUACAAGAAGGAUGAACGUACAAUGAUAGAAAAAUAGGCCAUGAACAUUAAUCAAAUAAAGUAAGUUUUUAUUUUAAUAUUAAAGUAAAUUUGAGGAAGAAAAUUACUAGUGACAUUGCAUAAUGAUGUAAGAUACAGCAACCCUAAAUGUGAUACACAAACCAACAACAGCUACAAAAUAUGUGAAUCAAAAAUGGACAAAAGUUGGGUGUGGCACCACAAGCCUGUAAUCCGAAGGCUGGGUAAGGAGCACAGCAAGCUGGAAGACUGUUCAGCCAUAUGGUGCUGCUCUGUCUCAAAAAACAAACAAGGUCAUCAAGAAAUCAGCUGACAACAAAUGUUGGCAUGGUUGCGGGGGUGGGGGAGGAACACUGCUCCACUGUUGGUGGGAGUGCAGACAGGUGCGACCACUGUGGGAAUCCGUGUGGAGAAUUCUCAAAAAACUAGGAUUGGAGGUUCUACUCAAUCCAGCUCUUCUCCUCUGGGGUAUUUUCCCAGAAAAACUGAAGAGAUCAUGUCAGUGGUAUAUGUGCAUCCAUGUUCACAGCAGCACAAUUUGUAGUAGCUAAAUCUUGGAAACAACCAAAAUGCCCAUCAACCACAAAAUGGAUGAAAAAGAUGGCAUGUUUAUACAAUGGAAUAUUAUUUGGCUGUAAAAAAGGAUGAUCUUGAGGCUUUUAUAGGCAAAUGGAGGCAACUUGAGACUAUCCUCAUAAGUGAAAUGAAUCACACAUUUGUAAAUAUCAUAUUGUCUCUCUAGUAUAAAAAGUAAUAAUAAAAAGCUGAAAGAGUAAUAAGAUCCAAAAUGUAUAAUAGAUAUUAUAAUAAUGAAAGGGAAAGAAAGUGCUCUAAAAGAUAUAACUAUAUGUAUGUUUAAGUGUGCAAGACAGAUAACCAUACUACUAAGUUUUUGUUGGUCCAUCAAACAGAAUAGUUUGUACUGUCAUUGUUUGAUUGUCCACUUUUUAUGCUUUAAUUUUAUAGGUUGAACAACUACUUCUAAGAUAACAUGUAAUUUAUCAACUAGUGAUUUUUUACUUUUUUUGCAAAUUGUGAUAUGUCUACCCUUUUUUCUGCUUUGCGUUUUUUUCUCUAAAUAAGAAAAAAAUACAAAAUAGAAAACGGCUGGGAAUGUGUCUUCAUGGUAGAAGGCUUGCUAGCAUGAGCAGAGCUCUGGGUUCAACCCUCAGUACUGGCAGAAAACAGAGACAUCACAACUGUAGCUGGAGACCAUAAUUCUUUUCACAACUGAUAAACACAACCAGGAAGGAUGUGGAACAACUAAGCAUCACAAACAACAAGAUCCAGUGAACAUCUGUCUAAAACUCUACUCUGGACCAACAAAAUACACAGAGCAUAUAUCUAAAUCACCAUAGCUUGGUGAAUGAAACAAACUUCAACAAUUUUAGGAAAAAAAUUGUUGUGUGUGGUACCAGAGAUCAAAUUCAAAAUCUCAUGCUUGCCCAGCAAGCGCUUAUGCCACUGAGCUAGAUCCCCAGCCCAAGAAAACUUAAAACAUUUAUAAUACAUUGUUUGAUAAAAAUUGAAUCAAACUAGGAAGUAUCAAAGGUAACAGAUAAAUCUCCACACAUUUAAAAACUAAACAUUGUAAAUAAUGGGUGGGCGACAGAAGUCCCAAGGGAAAUUAAAAAGACAAUGAUUUGAAUGACACUGAAAAUAUAGCAUAUUAAACUUUAUGGGAAUCAGGGAAGUGCUGAAAGGGAAAUUUAUAACUAAUUUCUUACAUCAGAAAACCUUAAGAAACAAGAGGUAUGUCUUUAGAGCAAAUAAAAAACAGAAAUAAUAAGGUGGAGUAGAGAGCUAUGAACCUGGGAACCAGAGACAGAGAGAGAGAGAAAAGGCUGGAUCUCUGAAAAGAUCAAUAAAAUUUAUAGACUUCUAGUAAAAGUGACAAGAAAGAAGAUGCAAAUUUACCAAUAUCGGAAAUAAAACAGUGGCCAUCACUACAGCCCCUUGGACAUCCCUGGCUAAAAAGAGAAUUUCAUAAAAGUUCACGUUAAUUUGACAACUUGGAUGCAACAGACCGGUUUCUUAGAAAGCAUACAUUUCUCUCAAUGUGAAAUGGGUAAUUUGAAUAGCUCAGUAACUGUAGAGGAUAACCUAAAAAGUUCUUUAAAAAUUAAUGUACAAAUACAGGCGAUUUAACGAGAGAAUUCAGCCAAAGUUUUAAAACUGUAGCAUCAAUCCUACAUAAUCUUUUCCAUAGCAUGUAAGAGAAGGAAAUACUCAUUAUUAUGAAUUUCACAUUAAUGUCUCCUUUUACUUUCCUGAUGGAGUGCCCUCUCCAACUCUAACUUGUUAACUUUCCAAACUCUAGUGCCCUUCAAAGAAGGGGCCCCAGAAGUGGCUUGUCAUCCUUUUCCCAGAUGAGAACUUGGUAUCUGAAAUCCAGAAGAUUCUCAUCAGAGUCAUCAGCCUGCAGGACUGUGAAAAGUAUUUUUUGUUGUUUAUAAACUACCCAGCCCACUAUGCUUUGUUAUAGCACUCCAUCUGAAGCAAUUAGCAAGAUAUUACCAUGAUACCAGAAUUACCACGACACCAAAAGACAGUAUAAAAAUGAGAAACCGUAGACCAACAUCCUUCAUGAAAACAGAUGUGAAAAUAUUGAAAAAUGGGGCUGGGGAUUUAGCUCAGUGGCAUAAGCGUCUGCCUAGCAAGCACAAGGUUGUGAGUUCGAUCCCUGGUACCAAAAAAAGAAAAAAAAAAUUGAAAAAUAUAUUAGCAAACAGAAACCAGCAAUAUAAAAAAAGAAUUAUAUAUUAUCACCAAGGGAGGUAUAUGACCACAUCAAUUAAUGCAGAAAAAAAAGACAAAAUUAAGGCUUCACUCAUGAGAAAACUAGAAAUAGAGGAGGGCUUUCUUUAUCUUGAUACUCUACAGAAACAAAGAAAGAAAAACCACACAACUUCUGCAGUUAAUGUUAUAUUUAAUGGUGAAAGACUGAAUUAUUUUCCCCAAAGAUGAAUAGAGGGAAUAAAAUUCAUUCUCAUCACUGUUACUUAACAAAAUACUGUACGUUCUAGCCAGAAUGAUAGGAAAGAAAAGAUAUUCAAUUGGGAAAGGAGGAAAUAGAAUUGUGCUGUAAUUUAAGAACUGUGAUCACUAAGUCCGGUGAUAGAUACGUGGAAUCCCCUGCCCAAGGCAGGAGGAUCAAAAAUUCAAGGCUGCCUAAACUACACUGUAAGACCCUUGUCAAAUAAGAAAGGGAGAGGGGAGAGGAAAGAGAGAGGGAGGAAAGGGAACUACAACUAUAAAACUCACAAGAAAACAGGGCUGGGUAUGGUAGCACACACUUGUAAUUCCAGCACUUGGGAAGGCUGAGGCAGGAGGAUCACUAGGAGUUUUAAGGCCAGCCUGAGCUACAUAAGUUCAAUGCCAGCCUGCACUAGAUAGCGAGAUCAUGUCUCAAAAGAAAAAGAAAAAAAAAUCUAUCCCCUUACAUUACACCGAAAGCAAUUUAAAAACAAUAAAUAGAUAAAUGGGACUCUUAUUGAAACUUAAAACUUGUUCAUAAAAGGACUCUAUCAGGAAAGCAGAUGACAACUCAAAGGAUGGGAACCUAUAUGUGGAAAUCAGCUAUGUAAUAAGGCGUUAAUAUACCAAAUAGAUGAAGAAAUUCUACAAUGCAAGCACAAAAAGAGCCCAAUCCAAAACUGUAAAAGACUCGAAUAGACCUUUGUCCAAGGAGAAUAUGCAAACAGCCAAUAGGUAUAAAAAGAUGCCCAGCAGUAUCAGCUGUUAGAUAGACAAGUCAAUACCACAAAAUACACACUAGAAAGGCUGCAGCUUUUUAAACAGGAAGUAACAAUAACCGAUGACCAUGUGCAGGCAGAUAUGCAUUAUGAGCGCGAUCGUAAGCUGUGGUAGGCCCUGUGGAAAAGUUUUUUAGUUCCUUAGAAAGAUAAAAAAUUUAACUGCUAGACUUGUCCAGCUCUCCACUCUAGGGUUUGCAUCCAAAGGAAUUUAAAGCCAAGGCUCAGAUACACCAAUGUUCAUAGCAGCAUCCCUAAUCAUGGAAGGCAGAAACGUCCCAACGCCCUCUGAAAAAUGAACGGAUAGAAACAAUACGGCAUAUCCCACACCGGGAUGCCUUGGGUUAUGAAAAGGAAUGAAUUCUGGUUCACGCCACAACGCGGACCAUCUAGAAAACGUGCUAAGUGAAAAAAAGCCAGAGCGACGCUUUUGGGGGAAAUAAAGACAAAUACACAGAAGUUAAAUCUCACAAAUUCAUGAAGGCAGAAAGUUGGCCAAAGGUUACCAGGGCCCGGGGAAAUGAGGAGCUGUUGCGUAAUUCAGAGUUUCUGUUUGCAGGGGCAAAAAUUAGGGAACCCUGAGUUGGGAUGUUUGCACAGCACUGCAAAUAUAUUUAAAAUUGCUGAGUUACACGCCUACAGACAAUGAAGUGGGAUUUUGUUACAUAUAUUUCACCAUAUUUUAUCUAAAGUUCAGGUUGAAAUAUAACAAAAACUGCUAGGUUUGCACUUUCUAUAGGUGGACUGUGUAUAAAUUGUAUCUGGAUAAAGUUGCUUUUUAAAAACCUCAGUGAGCCCCCGUUAGAACCGCCGCGGGGCGAAGAGAAGAAUGUGAGGAGCUGGAACGGACCCCGCUGCUGGAGGGACAGCCGUCUGCAAGCCUUUUCUUCAGAGUUCUGAGAGAUGCAGCCAGAAGUCACCCCCGGUCUGUGUGCUUUUCUUGGGUACUCUCCCUUGUCCUGACCUAAGGGGAACCUCAGUCAUACAGAUGGAGUGCAGAGACCAAACCCUGGCACCAGCGCUGCACCCCGCAGGGAAACCCGUUUGGCCACCCAGCGCAGCAGGAAGAAGCCACGCUGUGCUCCGGAGAACGUGGAGGAAGCUGCGUCUGUUUUUCUGUUUCUGCCUGCAGUUCUUUUGCCAAAGGCAGGGGGCGCUGGAGGGAGGAAACCCAGUAAUCCAGGAAUCCCAUCUUUCUCCCCAGAUCUCCAAGAAAGCAGGCCCCCUGGGAGCUGGGGAAGUCUUGGGGAGUCCAGAGUAGAGGAGACCUAGGAAGGGGUUCCCAGCUUCCAUGCAGACUGGAGACAGACAGACGGACAGAAAUUUCCCUUCGCACUACUGGUUCACAAGGAGCUCAGCUAGGGAAUUCCUGGAGUCCUUAUGUCAGAGCCUAGAGUUAGGAGAACAGAAAUCUGGAAAACUCAUUCCCGGAGCGCUGGGGGGGGGGGGGGGGGGCUCCUGUUCUGACUCCUCCUCUUCCCCUUUCCAAUUCACUUGUCAGAGGCUUCAGGAAGUCAGUGUUUAAUUUUGCCCAGAAUUUCCAGUUCUGGUGGGUAGGAGAGCUGAGCUAAAGGGCGCUCACUCCAUCCUGGCUCACGUGAGCUGUGCUAAGACUUUACAAAUGUAAUACAAUGUAAGCUGCAGAGGGGUUUGCGUUUUGUAGGUAGUUAAGCGGGAUUUUUUUUUAUAGUGGAUAAAACAGACUUUUUUUUUUUUUUGAGACGAGGUCUUGCUGUGUAGUUCAAGCUGGCCUUGAGUUCGCUGUGAAGUCCAGGUUAGUCUUGACCCUGCAGCGAUCCUCCUGCCCCAGCCUCCUGAGUGCUGGGAUGACAGUCCUCUUAUUAGAGGUGGUGACCUCUAAUAAGAACAUACUUUUUAUCUUCUUUUGUGGCAACAGACAGGCACUCUAGGAACGGUUUGCUUGGCAGGUGAAGACUGCAGGGUCAUAGUUCUUAAUGAUAAAAUGAAAACUCCGGUGAGAACUUCACUUUAGCUCAAUUUGCUUCCCGGUUCAAUCAAAAUUAAAGUUAGAAUUUCUUGAAGACUUUUGUUUGCUUGUCGGUUUAGUUUUGCAGAACUGGUGAUGGAACCCGAGUCUCUACACUGAGCUAUGUCCCAGGCUGGUUUUUGUUUUGUUUUGUUUGUUUGUUUGUUUGCUUAGACAUGGUCUCACCAACUUACCCAGACUGGGCUCAAAUUUAUGAUCCUCCUGGCUGUGUCCCAGAGUGCUGGGAUUUUAGGUCCUGACUUUAAAGGUGUUUUUGAAAAGUUUUUGGUGCCUCCCAAUGUCAUAGUACUAUAUGAUGAAUCCCAAAUUGGUCUUCCCUAUGUAUUCAAACUUGAUAUAAAACAAUGCCAACAAUACUUUAGCAUCAUCUCUUUCUGUUCCAAACACUGUUUCUAUGAAGCAGUUGAUUUUAAAAACGUAUUUUAGAGUUUUUCUAAUAGUGUACAGUUGUGUCUGUUUUCUUUGCUUGAAGUUAGUAGACAAAAAGACUUUACCUUAUUUGUUACAAAGAAUCUUUCUUAAGGAAAAAGAUUGUUUCAAAAGCAAGACAAGGGGCUGGGGAUUUAGCUCAGCAGCAUAAGCGCCUGCCUUUCAAGCAGGCAGUCAUUAGUUCAAUCCCUGGUACCGAUAAAAAAAAAAAAGAAAAGAAAAAGACAAAAAAAAAAAAAAAAAGCAAGACAAACAGUAUGUAAAUUCAUAACAAAUGUUUAUUUUUUUAAAAAACAUUUUCAAUCUUGAUGCCCUUUACAGAUACAGAAUGGCAGUGUCUCUCCAUGGGAGAAAGUGUAUCCGUACUGGUUGGAUACAUAAAAGUUGUGAAGGUUGCCACAGGCUCUUUUGUCAUUUGCCACAGAGGAAGAACUCAUUACCCUGUUGCUAAGCAACAGUACUUCAUCAAGAAGAACUUCGGACAGGAAGAGAGGGCAGGGGAGGAAUCGUCCAAAUUUACAAAGGGAAAGAGAGGGCGCAGUGCACCAAUGAAUAGAGAUGAAGGAAGCCACCUUUUGAAAACUAAGCAGAGGGGAUUCAAGGGAGCAUUGGAGAAAUAAACAGAAAGCUCGAUUCCCAGUUCUUCCAUGCGCAUAGCACCUUUUAACGGGCCAAAAGAUUAACCCCAACACAGCUCAAUGAAAUUAAAGUGCAAAAUAAUAGUAAAGUGAUUCUUAUUGACAUGUUUAAUUAAAACUUUGCUCAAACUAACAUCCUCACAAUAGGGAAAGAAAAUCAACACUAACAUUUUACUACAAUUGGGCUUCUAGACAGAGUGGUCUGCAGAUUUCAAUGUUUGUAGAUCCGAGCAGAGGGACAUCGGGAGAUGAAUGUUGGUGUUGGAAGGGUUCAGCCCUUUCUCCAGGGAGGGCUCGUAUCUGCAGCAGACUUGUCAUUGCUAAUAUGUGUGUUAGCAGUUGCUUCUGGAUCCACUGCGGAAAACAAUGCAUCCUGUCGCAAUAAUCCAGAGUUCUGUGGCCCUGGCAAGACCUCCUGCCUCAGUGAAGAUGUCAGGAGAGCCACCAAUCACUCUGACAUAGAUUGCUCCCAGCAAGGCAAAUACAGCCACACGGCCACAAACCAACAGUUUGUCAGAGGCAAGACCUGUUAAAUGAAGUACACUUGAAGAUUACAAAUGGCAGAAGUGGAGCUAUAAAGAUGAACUAAUGAAAAUGAAAAAUCUCAAUUGAUCUGGAAAAAAGCGGCAGGCUUUCAGGUGUUCCCGUGAUGCCUGACACAGUGAGCCAGACACGACGCUGGUGUGUAAGUAAGAGGUGUCCCAGUAUAUGUGGGGGCUGUGUCUGCACUGGCAGUUAAGACAGUGACCUCAAUAAUGUAGGCUUUGCACAAAUCAUAGUGAAUAGCACUAUGUGAAGGCAUAAUCAGCCUUCACAUUCCAGCAGCUAAAAUGCUACAAGAGUUUCUUCCUGCACGAGCUUAGAAUAUAUAAAAAAAUUAGCAAUUUUCUCAGAACAGUAUAGCUUCUGACACAAGUGCCUGCAUAUUCAGUCAGUGCUCAUCUGCCCACUUUCCCCUGCAUCUGCCAUUUAGCUGUUUCUCAAGCUGGCUGCUUAGGAGUCCUUUCUAGUUCCUAAAGACAGUUGUUUAAUUAAUUGUUAAUUAAACAAUUAAUUAAUGCUAGAAUAACAGCAUUGUCCAAACGGUUGCAGGUUUACCAUAAGUUCAUCUGACAGUGCCCUUUCGUUGGUUCGUGAUUCUGCUAAGCACACCCUUCCUGUUUCUCCCCCGCCCUCCCCACCUCUUCUCCCCUUCCUAUGCCUCAUCCUCCAGCACAUCCACUCAGUGGUGCUGUGCCAUGUCUCCAAAGAUAGAGCGGGUGAAUUCUUGUAUAAUAAAUUUUGUAGACAUAUUUCUGAAAUGGUAAACUAAAGGAGAUAAGUUUGUCACAGUCUUUAUUAUCAGGAGCCGUGUCCCAGGGGAAAGGGGGCACGAAGGGCUGAAGCCGUGGGUGGGUAACAUGGUAUAGAAAGCUGAGUUUACCAUUCACAUGACGAGUUACCCGGAAUACUGGAUUUACACACCAGUGGACACCUCCUGAGUCCACUUAACUUCUGUCCACAAGAAUAGUUUAUUGGUGACACGCAAGCGAUAAUAUCAGUGAAGUCUUAACCAUGCAAAAUAUUUCUACUUCCAUAUAAUCCAAAGACUCUAUUGUGCACCUUAUGAAAUCCUGUCUCUUGUCAUGAUAGACACUGAAAUAAAAUAAAGAAACAUUGCCUAUAUUUUAAUAUAAUCAGCUGGUAAAAACUGGCCUUUUCCCUGCACUGUAUGAUUGUUCCUUAGAAGGUAAAUUACUAAUUGUAUACUGCACAAUUCUGUUCUCCACUGAAAAGAUUUAGCUAUUCUAUAUAAAACUGUCAUGUCAGAAAACGAUCUGUGAGCCUUCCAGGAAGAUCGCAAAGUGGUGAACAACAAAAAGCCUCUCCCAGACUUGCUGUCCAGACUCUGGAGCACAGCACCAUGAGGAAGAGAAAGAGGAGGGAAGUGGGUGCCCAGCACCGAGGAAGGAUCUGAAGCGAGGAUUGAAGCCCAUGGGAAGAACGGAGAGAGAAACUUCAAGAAGGAGGAGGAAGAGGCAGGCUGCACUUUCUCCCUAAGCCUGGACUCACUGCAUGGAUGGAUGGUCUCAGCGUCGAGGGCCUGAAGGAGUAAAUUCACAGGUGAGGUUCCCAAAGUAAGCACGUGGAACAGACAUCAGCAAAACAGCACCUGCAUCUUUAUGUUUAACCCUUACACGUGCUAUCGUCGGGUGUUUACGUUCUUCUACACUGACUUAACCGUGCAGUGCUUGCGUGGUUGUCUAAUGCUAAGUCACGGUUAUGUAAGUGUAUCCCGCUGUGCACCUGCACUAGACAGUGAGUUCAUGUCCACAGAUGCCCCCAGCUUUGAGGCACCCCACAGUGGCCCCCGUAUAGGGGACUGGAACCUGCAGAUACAGGGUGACAACUGGCAGCCCCAGGGCCUCCACAAAGAAGUACAGUAGUGGAGUAGGGCAGUGGACACAGAGGGCCACAGUGGUGGUGAAUUGUUCUGGGUCAGAAGUCCACAGGAGAGGGGACUGGCCUGAAGCCAUCUACAAGACAGGCUGACCGAGCUCGGGCUCCGAGGGACUGCUGGCUCCUCCUAGGGGCUUCUAGCACAGUUCAAGCCUCAGGGACAAGUGGACAGCUGCAAGCUGGGCAGAUCUGGUUCUAGCCUCGAAGCCAGAGUCCAACUGAACUUCAGCAGAAACAGGGGUGCAGGCUCGCUGGGAUUAUCCGCUGCCCUGCAUGGAGCUGCUUCGGGCUUGCUGGGGUUGAUCACAGUGGACCCCAACUCUGUCUACACAUGUUGUCUACCAGUGGCAGCAGAGACACAACCUGGACAUUUCAUUUUAUUUUCAAUCUUUCUUGUUUUGGUUUGGUUUUGUGUUUUUUGUUUGUUUGCUUGGUUUUUGAGACAAGGUCUCAAUGUGUAAUCUAGGCUGGCCUUGAAUUUGCAGAGAUCCUCUUGCCUCAUCCACCCGAGUACUGAGAUUACAGAUAUGUACCAUCAAGCCUGACCUCUCUCUCUCUUUUUUAAUUUUAUUUAUUUAUUUAUUUAUUUUGGUCUUUUUCGUUUUUAUCGGUACCAGGGAUCGAACUCACGACUGCCUGCUUGCAAGGUAGGUGCUUAUGCUGCUGAGCUAAAUCCCCAGCCCCUAUAAUUUUAUUUUUGGGUUGUUUGUUUUUCCUCUUUUUGUUCUUCUUUUUAUGAAUGUGAACAUAGUUUCUAGUUUUGUUGCUGUUGUUCUGUUCUGCUGUUUUUUUUUCCUGCUUUCUUUUCCUCCUGUCUUCUGCACCAGUUUCCUGAAGUUUGUGUGAUCCUCCUUUGUCCUCCAGCCUCGCCUCUAACCUCUUCCUUUUCUUUUAUUUCUCUAUUUUUCGCCCAAGUCCCUUUUAAAUUUUUUCCCCUGAGGGUAAAUUUACUACCCCGAGGAUAUAUUCACUGCAGACAAUUUUCUGCUUUGUUUCAAAUUUUGUUGUAUAACCACAAAUCUAAUUCGCAUGGUUAAAGGUGGCAAAUUAAUAGUUACUUCAGUUUUCCAUUUUCUAGGCUGUGUUCAGUGCUCCUGUUAUUGCUGAUUAUAUUUUAGCCAAAGUGACAUAAUUGUUCUAACCAAUUGUACUUCCUGGCACACCAAGACUGAGACUGCCUAAGGGUCCUAAAAAUACUAUAGGCCAGUCCCAAAGACCCACGUGGUGGACCAAGAAGGCAGCUGAAGAGGCAGGAUCAAUAAACUGAAGAGGUAGGAUCAAACCAAAGUCAUCUGCUAUACCUGGAAGACACUGGAGAAAUAGUCAUUUCCUAAAGGUUCCAAAUACUAGCAAUAAAGCUUCUUACCAUAGGCAAUUUACAAGCAUCAACCUAGAAAUUAAACUAAAAAAAAUAGGAUACAAAAUGAGAAGAUACUUAAACAAGAUACAACCCCAGACAUCCAGCUCACCAAAGAAAAUGAUCUGUUAUUCAAGUAAGUCUGCUUUACUUUUUCUUUAAAAAUAUUUUAACAUGCCUUAUUUAAAAUUGUUACCAUAUUUAAAAAUAGGGUUAAAAAAAAAGAAAUUCUAAAAAAAAAUUUAAAAACAAUAGGAUAAUACAGAUGAAAUUUUUCAUUUUUUAACAGAUAUAACUAAUCUUUAGUAGGGGAUAAUUUGAUAUUAUCAUUAGAGUUUGCACUAGCUAUUAAAAAUAUAAUGGCAACAUAUAUUGCAAGAAAACAAGUAGGAUCUGUUAAUUUUUAAUAUUCAAGGACAUUUUUUAAAUCAUUGUUUUAAACUAAAAAUUGUUUUUUAUUUACUUUUUGAAGAAACCUCUGUCAAAGUAUUAUUCAUUCUCAACUGAUUUAUGUGAAUUUAUAUUUUUUUUCCAUGAAAUAAAAAUAGUUUCACCAAGUUAAGGAGAAAAAAAUCUGGAUCUGUUUUUAAGGGUGAUUCACCCAGUGUAAGAAUAACUAGUGAGUAUGAGUUAAAAUAAAUGAAUAAAUUAAUUAAUUAAACUUCUUCCUAUACUAGGGUACUUUUACAAGCGGUUCAGGGGAUAUUAUAACUGUUACUCUCUUAGUCAUUGUCUCCAUAUGCAGUAAUAUUUAUGAUCCCUUUAUAGUAAAAUAUAAGAAUUUGUUACAGUUAUUGAAAACAUUUUUGUCCCCAUGGACAUAAAAAUUUUGAUGCCAUUAUGUUUUUGCUUUGCUAUAGCACAUCCAUUCCUCCCACCCCAUUCCAUGGAUCAAACUCACAACCUCACACUUGCCAGGCAGACACUUAUGCCGCUGAGCUAAAACCCCAGCCCUCCGUUUGCUCUUAAACUCUAGGACACACCUAAAUACUUCCUUUGCUUUCCCGUCCUCCUGAGAGACACAGCUGUGCUCUCGCAUGUACUGCGAGAGAAUUUGGGAGAAUUUAAAUACUAUGGGAAAUUAAAUACUUAAAGGAAUAAGAUUCUUUGAUUCUUCAAGUUUUCUGUUUCUUUUUCCACAGAUCAUUAUGGAGAAAAUAAUUACUGGUUACUGAUAACAGGCACGAGGUCCUCUGCUGUACAAAGACCUAACAGAUACUGCGUGUGUUUAUAUCCAUGAACUUGAGCUACCUGUGUGCAAAUCUGUGUACAGGAAUGGAGUAGCAUCCAUGGAUCUCACUAAGUCACCCAGGAUGGCCUCAAACUUGAAACCCUGUCUCUGCCUUCCGAAAAGUUUGGGUUACAGUUCUUACUAUUUUCAAGCACGCACAGAGUGUUUCCAAGUCACGUCACAGGCAUCCGGGAAGCAGGCCUUGGCAAACUGAAGAAAACUGAAAUAAUAUCAAGUAUCUUUUCCAACCAUAAAGAUAUGAACUUAGAAAUCAAUAACGGGAAAAUUCAUAAAUAUGUGGAAAUUAACACACUUCUGGACUAAUACGGCAAAUAAGAAAUCAAGAAGGAAAUAAAAAUCUGUCUUGAGAUAAACAAAAAUGGAAUAAAAAAUACCAAAACCAUGGGGUGCAGCCAAGUUCUUAAAAGGAAGUUUACAGAAAUAAACACAAAAUAUAAAAAGAAAAAUCUGAAAUAAGCAACCUAACUUUAUACCUCAAGGAACUAGAAAAAGAACAAACUAUGUCCAAAGAUAGAAGGAAGGCAGAAUGAUUACAGAAAUAGAUGAAAUUCAAAUUUGAGAUAAUAAAACAAAUCCAUCGAAGCAAAAAUUGGAUUUUUACAAAAAUAAGCAAGAUCCACAAACCGUUAGUUAUACCUAAAAAAUAAUAUUCAAAAAAACUAAGGAAUGAAACAGGAGACAUUAAAACUGAUACCACUGAAAUGAGACUACUGUGAACAAUUACAUGGCAACAACUUGGAAACCAGAAGAAACUGAUAAAUAUCUACGCAGGUGCAGCCUGCCAAGCCCAUCAUGAGAAAACAAGAAAUUUACUAAAUGUUUAAAGAAUACUAACUGCUCUUAAUCUUUCCUCCCUCCCAAAAAGCCCUAGAAGAGGAAUUUAUUUUAAGUCCAUAGGACUUUGCAGGACUGGGGCCAGCAGUCUGAGCAUCUAUUAGGAGGAUGAUGUACGCAGAACAGCAAAUAUGGGGAUUUCUUUCUGACUUGCUUUUGAAAUCCAGUAUUGUUCUCACUGUUUUGUUCUGAUUUAUUGUCUUUUUAUUCAGUGUUCUGUUUUGACUGGUUUUAUUCUGCUUUGUUUUGAUUGUACCAUGCCCAAUGGUGUGACAACUAUUGUGAAGAUAACAGGAGAUACUGUGGUAGCCAUUGUCGAUUUCCCAUUAGUGUGUUUUGAAACCCUGUAUCACUUUUCUUUUUUUUUUUCUUUUUGAGACAGGUUCUUGCUAUGCAGUUCAGGCUGGCUUUGAGCUCACUUUGUUGCCCAGGCUGGUCUUGAACUUGCAAUGAUCCUCCUGCCUCAGCCUCCUGAGUGCUGGGAUUACAAGUGUGAGCCACCACGCCUGGCUAGCCCUGUAUCACUUUCACUGUUUUGUUUUGAUUGGCUUCAUUCUGUUUUAUUUUGUUACAUUUUAUUCCUCUAAAGCAACAAAAAAAAUCUCUAAGAGCAGAUCAUGAAUGUUAUCACACUCAGACACACUCACUUGUGGUACUAGCAAGGUCAGUAGAACACCCCCUCAAGAGGAGCAGUGCUUACAUGGGGCUGGGAACAGUUUCCUUUCCCAGCUACCCGAGGGGAAAACUGGGUAACUCACAUGGCCUGGGGACAGUGUCAGAGGGUUCCGCUGCAGUAAUAAAGAAAAAUUAACUCAGUAUCAGAGUUUGUCAGCCUCAGGGUAGACUGAGCAUCCCUCAAAAACUCACAAUAUCUUGCUUGGAGCCAAAAAUUACCGCGCAUAGAAAUAAUAAGGAAAAUAUGAUUCAUAAUAAAAAAGAAAUAAAACAAUAAAGAGAAAUUCAGACAACACAUGAUUUGAUAGUAGAUGAGGAUGUUAAAGAGGCAUAUAUUCAUAUAAAAUGUCAUAUGGUCAAGAAGACAGAAGAAAGAUUCAGCACAUUAAAUGAAGACAUAGCAGAUGUGGAGAAAACAUUUAAAAGAUCCAAAAUCAAGGUCUGAGGUAAAAAGUACAAUGGAAUGGAAUAAUAACCGAUUAGAUGCUGUGAAGAGAAUUAACAGUGAAUUUGACGUCAAACAACAAACAUUGUCAAAAGUGAAACAGUGAACAGAUUAUUGGUAACAUGAGCCGACUUUGUCCUGACAUAAUUGGAAAGGGAUGAUACAAAAAUGUUAGCAGUAAUAAACAAGAAAUUUCUAAAUA